CACCGCGGUUAUACGAGAGGCCCAAGUUGAUAAAUGCCGGCGUAAAAAGUGGUUAGUACUAUAUUUUACUAAAGCCAAACAUCUUCAAAACUGUCAUACGUUCUCGAAGACAGGAAGCUCUUCUACGAAAGUGGCUUUAAAUUAGACACACCACGAAAGCUAGGAAA
rnacentral:rRNA from 1 species